AGUUCCCGUACGAUCACUGAAGUUAAGCAACGUCGAGCUUGGUCAGUACCUAGCGGAGUGACUGCUUGGGAAUACCAGGUACUGUAAG